rnacentral:tRNA from 1 species
CCUAAUGUGGUGUAGUGGUCAAGCAUUCCCAGGUAUCAAGGGGGGGAGUCCCAGGUUCGAUUCCUGGUAUUAGGA